CAGGGAGACAACAAAAUGUUUAAUAUUAUUAUUUUGUCACCUUAGGUCGAUCGGUAUCUCACGUUUUUAAUUUAUUAAGAAUUUCAUUUCCUAAGUUUUUCUAGGUCACACCCAUUAUUUUUCCUGGGCCAUUAGCUCAGGUGGUUAGAGCGCACCCCUGAUAAGGGUGAGGUCCCUGGUUCAAGUCCAGGAUGGCCCAUAUCUCUAUGUUGGGGGUAUAGCUCAGUUGGUAGGGCGCCUGCUUUGCAAGCAGGAUGUCAGCGGUUCGAGUCCGCUUACCUCCACUGAUUACCACCUCUUCCAUAACCGGUAGAAAGGAAAUGUUUUGAGUUGUGAUCAAAUUCUGAAAGAAUCUAGCUUCCUAAUGAAAUCAUUAAGAUGCUGGACUCAUUGAAUUAAUUUCAUUGUUUUCAGAGAACCUUGACAACUGCAUAGAUUAUUUUUAAAGACAAUAAGCAUCUUUAAUGAUGCAGAUUUAUUAUUUGUGCGAAUGCACUAAUAACAAUUCUAUUAAGCUGAUGCUUCAAUUUUUGAAGUUAUU
rnacentral:tRNA from 1 species